UUCAAUGUGGCAGAUUUAUGCAAUAAAUUUAAGAUUUAUUUAAGAUUUAAUAUUCUUUUGAAA
rnacentral:tRNA from 1 species